GACGAACGCUGGCGGCGUGCUUAACACAUGCAAGUCGAACGGAAAGGCCCUGCUUUUGUGGGGUGCUCGAGUGGCGAACGGGUGAGUAACACGUGAGUAACCUGCCCUUGACUUUGGGAUAACUUCAGGAAACUGGGGCUAAUACCGGAUAGGAGCUCCUGCUGCAUGGUGGGGGUUGGAAAGUUUCGGCGGUUGGGGAUGGACUCGCGGCUUAUCAGCUUGUUGGUGGGGUAGUGGCUUACCAAGGCUUUGACGGGUAGCCGGCCUGAGAGGGUGACCGGGCAGAGAGGGGGAAAAUUACGGCAGAGGCGGCUACCGGAGGCAGCAAUGGGGCAUGUUGGACGAGGGGCGGCAGGUUGUUACCGCCUUUCGGCGGUGGGGAUGAGUGAGUUGGGGUUGUGGACCGCAUACCCCGGUGACGAAGCGUGCCUGACGCUAAGGAGUACAGGAACGCCAGCUAACUACGU
rnacentral:rRNA from 1 species